UGAUGGUGGUUAGGGCAAUUUCUAAGCAUACCCUUAAAACUCUUCCAAGCUUGGUAAAGAUUUUCUCCUUGUUUCUUCCUGAAAAUUAGAAUCUCACUUCUCAAACA
rfam:Capsicum annuum cultivar Zunla-1 chromosome 11, whole genome shotgun sequence